CUCAAAUUUUAAUUAAUUUGUUAUAAUUUCUAACCUAACUUUAUAAAUUAAGUCACACAAUCUUCUUUAGCUAGCUAAAUAUUGACGAGUGCUAGUAUGAAAGUAAUAUAAUAUCUUAAUUAUUAUCACAUCACCAAUCACAAUUCCACUAUAUCACUUUCACAUUAGCAACGCACCAAUAUUUAGCCAACUAAAUUGAAUUGUGAGACUAGAUUAUAAUAAUUUAAAAAGUUUAAGUCAAAAGUUGUAUCAAAAUUACAAUUUGAUAAUCAAAAUGUCACGCACCUGAUAAUUUGAGGACCC
rnacentral:lncRNA from 1 species